rnacentral:tRNA from 1 species
GUUUUUAUAGUUUAAUUAAAAUAGUGAUCUUGUAAAUCAAAACUGAGAAUAUCUCUAAAAACA